UCAGGAUGAACGCUGGCGGCGUGCUUAACACAUGCAAGUCGAACGAUGAUGCUUCCAGCUUGCUGGGAGCGGAUUAGUGGCGAACGGGUGAGUAUCACGUGAGCAACCUGCCCUUGACUUCGGGAUAAGCCCGGGAAACUGGGUCUAAUACCGGAUAUGACCAUCGCCCGCAUGGGUGGUGGUGGAAAGCUUUAUGCGGUCUUGGAUGGGCUCGCGGCCUAUCAGCUAGACGGUGAGGUAGUGGCUCACCGUGGCUUUGACGGGUAGCCGGCCUGAGAGGGUGACCGGCCACACUGGGACUGAGACACGGCCCAGACUCCUACGGGAGGCAGCAGUGGGGAAUAUUGCACAAUGGGCGAAAGCCUGAUGCAGCGACGCCGCGUGCGGGAUGACGGCCUUCGGGUUGUAAACCGCUUUCAGCAGGGAAGAAGCU
rnacentral:rRNA from 1 species